AACAUAAUUUUAAAAAAGAUAAGUUAGCGCGCGGUGAAGGGAAGGCGCGAAUGAUUUUCUACAGGUAGUUUAAAAAUGGCGACUGACAGGUAUGCGUUUUCUCGCGUGUACGGUGCCGCGACAAGAUCAGACGCGACGUGAUUUUCAUUAAAUUAAAAGCAAGAGAUAUAUUCAACCUCUUUAGUUCAAUUUUAUUUAGUGGAAUCAUUGCAUUGAAGAAACCUUACAAAUUAUGUUGCGUUUUCAUCAAUCAACACGGUGACUUUCUCUCUCGAUUAUUGUAUUCGUGAGAUUCAGCUGCACUUAGUCUUGGCACGAUUAAGAUUUUUUGUCUUAAUUUCGUCUGUUUUUUGAACUAACGAAAAAGAAAAAAACGAACGAAUGAACGAACGAACGAGCAAACUUCCGCAUUCCACUGCAUCGCGAACGAAUAAGUGAACGAACAAACGAUCACUUGCCAAUGUUUUGAAUCUGAAAAAGCAAAACUUGAUAUUAUAUCAGAAUGAUGUCUAAUCUUUGUCGCAAAAUUUUAAAAUAUCUUGGAAUGUAUUCAUGGCUUUGUAAGUGUAAAGGUAAAUACAGUUGUAAAAAUUACAAACAUAUAGUCAUGGAACAUUCUGAUUUAGUAGCAGAAAUGGUACAUAUAGAAAGGUUAACAACUCAAGAAAGGUUGCAUUUAGCUCGUCUCAAAAGACUCCAACAAUUAAAAGUAUGGCGUCAACGUGAAAAAGAAUGGAUGCGACAUCAAACCAGACAUACAAGUAAUAAACGUCAUAUAUAUUUUAGUGAUAGUGUAAUGCUUUUAGAAGCUGCAGCAAGAAAUGAUAUUGAUGAAGUGAGACGACUUUUAAAAAAAGGAGUAAAUCCAGAUUCAACAAAUGAAGAUGGAUUGACAGCUUUACAUCAAUGUUGUAUAGAUGAUAAUGAAGAAAUGAUGAAAUUAUUAAUUGAAUUUGGGGCAAAUGUUAAUGCAGAAGAUAGUGAAAAAUGGACACCAUUACAUGCUGCUGCUACUUGUGGCCACUUACAUUUAGUUAAAAAUCUCAUUGUUAGAGGUGCUAAUUUAUUAGCUGUUAAUGCAGAUGGUAAUAUGCCUUAUGAUAUUUGUGAAGAUGAAAAAACAUUAGAUUGUAUAGAGGGUGAAAUGGCAAGACGAGGUGUUACUCAAGAAUUAAUAGAUGAAACUAGAGCUUCAAUUGAAGUUCAAAUGUUAAGAGAUUUACAAAAUAUAACUUCUAUAGGUGGUGAUUUAGAAUAUAAGGAUCAUCAAGGUGCUACACCUCUACAUAUUGCAGCUGCAAAUGGUUACUUAAGAGUAGUUGAAUUUCUUCUAGAUCAACAUGUUUCAACUGAUGUUGAAGAUAAUGACAAGUGGCAACCAGUUCAUGCAGCUGCUUGCUGGGGUCAUUUAGAAGUUCUUGAGUUAUUAGUACAAAAUGGAGCUGAUUUAAAUGCGAAAAAUAAACAUGAUGAAACUCCAGCUGAUAUUUGUGAAGAUUCAGAAAUUAAAGAAAGAAUAGUAGAACUUAAAACGGAACAAGAAAGUAAACGAUUACGCGAAGCACAGGGAAGACGGGUACGCAGAUCUCAAAGUAUAAAUACGCGUACUCAAAGCGUAAGAAGAACUUCAAUAAGAGAUAAAGUUUUAACUACGAAAAAAGAUGCUCAAGAAGAAGCUCGACUUAGAUUACAAGCACAACAGACAUAUAGUGGUUCCACUAUUAAUGUUCCACAAUCAGAAAAUGAAGCUAAUAUACGAGAAAAUAUGAGCAGUGAAACAGAUAAUAAUGCACCACCUGCUGUACGUAAAGCACCUGAAGGAAAGGAUAAUGAAUCUUUCCUUCAUGAAGACGUCGAUAAAGAAUCAGAACACUUAUCGAUAGGCAUUUCUAUUGAAGAUGGUGACAUCAAAUUUAAUCCUCGUGCUACGUAGAAGUUUAGUCGUAAUCAGCUAUCGCUGCUUGUCGAACAAAAUGCCAGGACAAUUCGAAGAAAUUCAAGCAAAAACGCGCAACAUUUGGAAUGGGAUGUUUCUGGGCUGGUGAUUGUUUAUUUGGUGUUUUACCUGGUGUAAUUAGAACUUGUGUUGGAUAUGCAGGUGGACAAAAGGAAUCACCAACUUAUAAAAAUAUGGGUGAUCAUACGGAAGUCGUUGAUAUUGAGUAUAAU
rnacentral:misc_RNA from 1 species